rnacentral:rRNA from 1 species
GACGAACCGUGCAACGUUGUUCGGAAUUACUGGGCGUAAAGGGCUCGUAGGCGGCCAACUAAGUCAGACGGUGAAAUCCCUCGGCUUUAACCGGGGGAACUGCGUCUGAUACUGGGAUGGCUUGAGAUUGGGAGGAGGGAUGCGGGAAUUCCAGGUGUAGCGGUGAAAUGCGUAGAUAUCGGAGGAACACCGGUGGCGAAGGCGGCAUCCUGGACCAA